rnacentral:rRNA from 1 species
UGAACGCGAAGAACCUUACCAGGUCUUGACAUCCUCUGACAACUCUAGAGAUAGAGCGUUCCCCUUCGGGGGACAGAGUGACAGGUGGCGCAUGGAUGUCGUCAGCUCGUGUCGUGAGAUGUUGGGUUAAGUCCCGCAACGAGCGCAACCCUUGAUCUUAGUUGCCAGCAUUUAGUUGGGCACUCUAAGGUGACUGCCGGUGACAAACCGGAGGAAGGUGGGGAUGACGUCAAAUCAUCAUGCCCCUUAUGACCUGGGCUACACACGUGCUACAAUGGAUGGUACAAAGGGCUGCAAGACCGCGAGGUCAAGCCAAUCCCAUAAAACCAUUCUCAGUUCGGAUUGUAGGCGGAAACUCGCCUACAUGCAAGCUGGAAUCGAUAGUAAUCGCGGAUCAGCAUGCCGCGGUGAAUACGUUCCCGGGUCUUGUACACACGCAA